rnacentral:lncRNA from 1 species
GAGAAAACAGACUCAAGGCAGUGAGGCAAGGGGACCUGGUUUGAACCUCGGCAGCGGCGGCAGCAGCAGCAGUGGAAGGGACACUGAGACCAGAGGGUGGGGGACAUGAGGCCUCUCAAGACAAAGAGUAAAUGUAUGGAAACAUCAGGAUUCGAAGGCAGCUCAUCGAUCGACUUCUGGGUUAGGUUUCCUGGAACCAGAUGGCAGAGUCUUCCUGGGAAAGAUGAAUAAGUGCAGGGGCAAGGAGAGUGCACACACCCACACAGUGCCCCCGGGGCCCCAGCCUCACUAUGACCUCUGCUCUGUGCAAGGUGUGGGAAGGAGGAAGGCCCUUCCAUUCACCAAUGUUCAAGCUCCAUGAGCAGCCAAUCGGGGCUCUGAAGGAGGAAGAAACUUUGGUUCCCCUGGCAACACAUACAAAAGCCUCUCUCCUCAGCAGCAAGCAGCUGGAAGAGGGAUGUGGACUGGAUUCCACCCAACCAGAUCUCCUCAGAAGCAGGAGCCUGGAUGAGCGCGUUUCAUUCUAACUCCUGAACUCUGGUUCAUCCAGGGCCAUCCCCAGGGGCAGGGGACCAACGGGCCAAAGACACUCCCGACAGUGGUGACUCCUCUUCCAUCUUUCAGAAUCCACUGACAACUAGGUUGUCGCUUAGGGUAGGCCUGGGGCUGGGGCUAUCCUUCCAUCAGUUCAUCACCUAGGCCAUCUUCUCCAAGGCAGCUUCAGUGCCGAUGGAUGCCCACCUGGAUCUGAGCAAGCGCCCUCCCCUUUCUCUUAAGCUCCCACUGCUGUCCCCACCCCGACUGUCCUUGAGGAGCAUCUGUGACCUACGGUUGCUAGCCCACACCCACCAUAAAGCAAAAGGAAAG